UACGGAAGGGGCAAGCGUUGUUCGGAAUCAUUGGGCGUAAAGGGCGCGUAGGUGGUUCUGUAUGUCUGCCGUGAAAGCAUACAGCUCAACUGUAUUUUGUCGGUAGAAACUGCAGGACUUGAGGCUGGGAGGGGCUGGUGGAAUUCCCUGUGUAGCGGUGAAAUGCGUAGAGAUGGGGGAGAACACUCGUGGCGAAGGCGGCCAGCUAGACCAGAUCUGACACUGAGGCGCGAAAGCGUGGGGAGCAAACAGG
rnacentral:rRNA from 1 species